UUCCUUUUGAAGUUUAUUGAAGGUAAGCCCUGCCCGGUGUCAUGUAAGUGAUAAACGGCGGCCUUAGCGUGAGGGUCCGAAGGUAGCAUAAUAAGUUGGUUUUUAAUUGGAGCCUUGAAUGAAUGGGUUUACGUAAUAACGACUGUGUCAUGGUUAUUUCAUUGAAAUUAACUUUUAGGUGAAAAGGCCUAAAUAAGUAAAAAAGACGACAAGACCCUAGAAUCUUUACGAUUAUUAGCGUUUAUAUCAUGUAGCUUACAGUUAAGCGUAAUUAAAGUUUUGUUGGGGCAACAGGGUGAGUAAGUCUUGCCUAUAUUUCUAGUUUUAAUGUAUUGAUUUGAAGUUUAUUUUUACUUAACAAGUUUUCAGCCGUUAUAUUGUGAAAAUGAUUAAGUUACUCUAGGGAUAACAGCGCUAUAUCUUUUAAAAGCUCUUAUUGAAAAAGAUGUUUGCGACCUCGAUGUUGGCUUAGGAUAUCCUGCAGGUGCAGCAGCUUGCAAGGGUUGGUCUGUUCGCCCAUAAAAAUCCUACA
rnacentral:rRNA from 1 species